rfam:Ricinus communis cultivar Hale ctg_1100012354153, whole genome shotgun sequence.
UGUUGAUGGUGACAAAUCCAAAGGCUUGUUUCUCUAAACAUUCGCAGUGGCUACCUAAGAGCUUUCGCCUUCGCCGGGAUUGAGAGCCUGUGCUGCUUUACCCUUUGUUGGAUGUAUGAGACU